ensembl:lncRNA
CUAACAGUAAGACUCUCUGAAAAAUGACAUUGUUCAUCCCAGAUAUGGCAGCUGGACAUAUGUUUUUGGUCUUCCUCAUUUUCUAUACCUUCCAAUAUGUCAAAGCCCAAGAUCGUCUUAAGCCCAGUCUGAUUCUGAAAUAUGCAGUCAUCAGACAGAGAGACUCAGUUCAGCUGAUCUGUGAGAUUCCAUCUGUAUCUGAGUCUCAGUGUCACUUCAUCAUAGAGGGGAAACAGAUCUCACAUCCUUCACCAUGUCAGAGCACACUAACAGGAUAUCAGCUGCUUCACUGGGCAGGUCAAAGUUCACCUGUUGAGGUCCAGAUUCUAUGUUUCUACAUGGUAGAGACAAACUAUACAUCAACACACAGUGACCCUGUCUCAUUGAGGAUUCUGGAUCAACGAGACCUCCCUCAGCCCAAUCUGAUAGUGAUUCCCACAGUUAUCAGAGAGGGAGACUCAGUUCAGCUGAGCUGUGUGACUCCUCAAUCUCUCUCUGAGUGUCAGUGUGGUUUCUAUGAAGACAUGAGACUUAAUCUACCAGAACGAUCAUGUGAACAGAUAGUCACAGGAACUCAGCUGCUUUCUUGGGCAGGCCAAAAAUCGCCAGCUGUGCUCCAGGUGAAGUGUUUCUACGUUGUAGAAAGAUAUUACUCAUCUCCUCCCAGUGACCCAGUCAUUGUCACAGUCCAGGGUGAGUAGGUUGUUUUGUAUACUUAUAAUUGAGGAUUUUAACGAUACCAGCUUUCUAUCUGCCACUACCGAGUAAUGAAUCCCAUAAGGUCAUGAUGAGGAGGCACAAAACAUAAACAGUUUUUUUCCUCAGGCCACAAGGCUUGUCAACCAGCAACACUGAUCUAGGAUCAUAUUGAUCCCAUGAACAUUCCAAUUGUUCUGUUGUCUUUCUAUGUACUUUCACUUUACAUUAGAAUAUUUCUAUGUACCAUUCAUAGGCACAUAACACUUGUAUUAUAUUUAUAAUAUUCAAUAAUCCCCAAUACUCUCAUAUUCCCCAGUCUACACUCUUUAAAAAUGCUGCUAGUUUACAUAGUUAUGUAUAUUUGUAAUUCUUAAUGCGUAGAUGCCAUGUGCCAUGUCACAAGAAUUCUAUGUUUCAGGACAACUCUAUGUUAGUCGGUGCAUUUGAUAAAUAAAAGUCAUAUGUACGUCUGAUGGCGUCUGGCCGAGGUCUUUACCGAUAUUUUCAACAUCAAUCAAUCAAUCAAUCAAUCAAAAUGUAUUUGUAUAGCGCUUUACAACAACCAGGAGGUAUCCAAAGUGCUUCACAUCAGGAACCAAGAAUAAAACAACAUAUAUUGCAAUAAGAAGAAUUUAAACGUAGAAAACAGUAAAAUCCUAAAAGGUUACAUAGAAACAGGAAGAGGAAAUUGUCACACCACUACUGCGUAUUAAAAGCCAUUCUAAACACAGCAUGUUUAAAGGCAGCUGGGACAGGACCUAAACUAAGACAAGAAUUUAAAAAAGUGAAUAGACUCGGCCCAAUGGUGUCAUUAAAAACCUCCUUCAAUAUCCUGGCGGGAACAAUGUCUAAAGGACAGUGGGUAGGUUUCAUGUGUUGCACUAUCUCAGAUAGCAAUGUCAGAGAAGUGGCUGAAAUUCCUCAAACACAGCACAAUGCAUAGGAGCAGCAGGUAUAAACACAUUAAAAUUAACACUGGCGUAUUGCCUGACAGGUGCUACUUUGUCAAUAAAAAAAAGAUAAACUUCUCACAGGUGCUAGUUGAAACCUCUGUCGGAUCAGAGGUGCAUGGAUUCACAACAGAGUUAAUAGUAUUAAAUAACACUCUAGGUUCAUGGCAACUACUAGCUAUGACAGGAGAAUGAUGUUGCAUCUUCACCACCUUCACAGCCUUCUGGUAUGCUGUUAGACUGUCUCUUAAUAAACCCAGUGAUACUUGCAAAUUGUCCUUCUUCCACCUUCGUUCAGCUUGUCUGCAGUGUUGCCUAAGGGCUCUUGUGGAGUCAUUUAACCAAGGGUCCGCCUUAGGUUUAAUAGAUUUAGUCCUAACAGGGGCAAUAGAGUCUAAAAUUUCAGUGAACGUGGAGUGGAACACAGAGAGAAUGUUAUCUGGAUAUAAGGGAGAUACCAGACCAUUCGUGACACAGAAUUGUGAGCCCCCGAAUGCCGAAGCAAAAUCUCAAGCAGAAGAGGAGGUAAUGCAGCGGCGCUUAGAAGCUGAGAAAACAGGCUUAAUAGCAGGUGGUGGUACACUGAUCUCAAACCUGAUGGGGAAAUGGUCCGAGAUACCAGUGUCUUUUAUUUCACUUAGUGAAACUGAAAGCCCAUAAGAAAUAACGAGGUCCAGGGUGUGUCCAAGAUGAUGUGUUGGCCCUUCCACACAUUGAUUAAGACCAAAGGAGAUUAAAAGUGUUUUAAAAUCAUUAGCAAGUGGGUUUGAG